GGGAGUGAAUGUGUCCCGGUGGGCGCCACAGUCUUCAAAACUGAUGGUCGGCUGUAAAGGCAGGCGACGGUGGGUUCGACUCCCAUUCACUCCCG
rnacentral:tRNA from 2 species